ACUUCUUAAGUACUAAGUAUAUUUGACUUCCAAUCAUAAAGGUUUAAUUCUAUUAAAAGAAGUA
rnacentral:tRNA from 1 species